UCCAGGACUGCUUUUUGCUGUUGACAUGUUGAAUAUGCUCAUUGGGAAGGAAGAGAAUAUUACCCUGUAUUGAAACCUCAUGUAUGGUAGGAUUGGCCCUGAUUCUGAGCUAUCUCACAUAAGUAAAUGUGUGAUAAGUUCCUGAAUAUUAACCGGCUUUUUGAAUGGGUGAAUGAAUAAUAUUCCGUUUUUUAAAAAAAACUUCUGGAGACGACAUUUCAGGUCAGGAUACCUCUUCAGUCUAGUUUGGCCGAGGGCAAUUCCUUGAGAAACUCCUGCAGUGAAGCCUCAGGGUAGGGAACGGCCUAGCUUUGCGUAAGUUCCUGAUAUUCAGCGUGGUUGUGUCAAAUGGAGGAUGGCAGACUUGGGCCAUGGGCCAACAACAGAAAAAUGAAAUUGUUACUUACAGUUGCAUAACAGGCCUGUAAACACAACACACACAGAUAAUAUGUAAUAAACGUAGAAAGGUAGCAAAGAUAAGCACAAAGUGCUGGAGUAACUGUGAAAUGCUGUGUCUAUCUUCAGUAUAAACCAGCAUCUGGGCCUUUCUUUGGAAAGUGAACCAAAAUGUCACACACGUUACCAAAUGGCAUCACAUAGAGUAAUACGUUAAAAAAAUUCUUGUAAGAGAUUAAUCUUAUUAAUUGAUAUUUUCCUACCUACAGAACUAUAAUGCGUGUCUGCCUGAGAUAUGAACAUUCUAGCUUUUUAAAAUUCACAAGAGUUUGUAAGAAUAAAACUGAGUUCUGAAAAAAAAUGCUGCCGUGUGAGGUCACACACGUGACCAGUCCUAUUUGACCUCUGACCCGAAACAAGCAUUGUCAGCAGAACAUAAAUAUUUCACUUGAUAAACU